rnacentral:lncRNA from 1 species
GUUGAAAAAUCAACAAUAAUGUUGAGCGAGUUCAUGUGUAAGUGAGCAAAUAAACCUUUGUUUGUAUAAAACCCUGGUAUGUAGCAAAUAAGGAAAAAGAGAUCACCAAUGGUUUGCAAGGCCAUUGAUAUGUGUGAAGUGCAAUAAACCUCCUUACGCUAACCAUACCAUGUAUAAAGUAUUCGUAAUCAAAGUAACAUGUAUUUCACCCCCGCAGUUUAGAAAACUGAAAAC